rnacentral:rRNA from 1 species
GACGAACGCUGGCGGCGUGCUUAACACAUGCAAGUCGAACGGAAAGGCCCUGCUUUUGUGGGGUGCUCGAGUGGCGAACGGGUGAGUAACACGUGAGUAACCUGCCCUUGACUUUGGGAUAACUUCAGGAAACUGGGGCUAAUACCGGAUAGGAGCUCCUGCUGCAUGGUGGGGGUUGGAAAGUUUCGGCGGUUGGGGAUGGACUCGCGGCUUAUCAGCUUGUUGGUGGGGUAGUGGCUUACCAAGGCUUUGACGGGUAGCCGGCCUGAGAGGGUGACCGGCCACAUAGGGACUGAGAGACGGCCCAGACUCGUACGGGAGGAAUCGGUGGUAAUUAUUACACGGUGGGCGGAAGCCGGAUGCAGGACCGCCGCGUGCUGGAUGACGGCCUUCGGUUUGUAAACCUCUUUCGCCUGUGACGAAGCGUGAGUGACGGUAAUGGGUAAAGAAGCACCGGCUAACUACGUG